UGGGGAAUUUUGGACAAUGGGCGCAAGCCUGAUCCAGCAAUGCCGCGUGCAGGAUGAAGGCCUUCGGGUUGUAAACUGCUUUUGUACGGAACGAAACGGCUCUGUCUAUUACAUGGUGCUAAUGACGGUACCGUAAGAAUAAUCACCGGCUAACUACGUGCCAGCAGCCGCUGUAAUACGUAGGGUGCGAGCGUUAAUCGGAAUUACUGGGCGUAAAGCGUGCGCAGGCGGUUAUAUAAGACAGAUGUGAAAUCCCCGGGCUCAACCUGGGACCUGCAUUUGUGACUGUAUAGCUAGAGUACGGGAGAGGGGGAUGGAAUUCCGAGUGGAGCAGUGAAAUGCGUAGGUAUGCGGAGGAACACCGAUGGCGAAGGCAAUCCCCUGGAACUGUACUGACGCUCAUGCACGAAAGCGUGGAGAGCAAACA
rnacentral:rRNA from 1 species